rnacentral:rRNA from 1 species
CCUACGGGGAGCAGCAGUCGAGAAUCAUUCACAAUGGGGGAAACCCUGAUGGUGCGACGCCGCGUGGGGGAAUGAAGGUCUUCGGAUUGUAAACCCCUGUCAUGUGGGAGCAAAUUAAAAAGAUAGUACCACAAGAGGAAGAGACGACUAACUCUGUGCCAGCAGCCGCGGUACUACCGAGGUGUCAAGCGUUGUUCGGAAUCACUGGGCGUAAAGCGUGCGUAGGCUGUUUCGUAAGUCGUGUGUGAAAGGCGCGGGCUCAACCCGCGGACGGCACAUGAUACUGCGAGACUAGAGUAAUGGAGGGGGAACCGGAAUUCUCGGUGUAGCAGUGAAAUGCGUAGAUAUCGAGAGGAACACUGGUGGCGAAGGCGGGUUCCUGGACAUUAACUGACACUGAGGCUCGAAAGUGUGGGUAUCAAACAGGAUUAGAUACCCUUGUAGUC